AGCCAGAUAGUCCAAUGGAAGGAUGCCUGACUGUUACUCAGGUGAUGCCGGUUCGAAUCCGACUCUGGCAG
rnacentral:tRNA from 1 species